GACCUUCUCUAUGAUUGAAUUGUGAGAUCAUCAGCGGAGCAAACUACAUUUCUGGGAUUCUGUGAGGUCAUCUUUACAACAAAGCAUAUAUUGAAGAUAGAACGUCAGGAGUAGCUGACCCAAGACAGGUGGACCUUCUCUAUGAUUGAAUUGUGAGAUCAUCAGCGGAGCAAACUACAUUUCUGGGCUUCUGUGAGGUCAUCUUUACAACAAAGCAUAUAUUGAAGAUAGAACGUCAGGAGUAGCUGACCCAAGACAGGUAAUUAAUAUUAUUAUUAAUUACAGAUAACUCAGGCUAGACUUUGGUUCUAGACCUGUAGAGGCGCGGUAAUAUGUUUCUGAAAUACAUUAAUAUUUAUUAAAUGUGUUUUCUAUACACGUUCUUCCUAAAGACAUUUUGAGAGCUUGAUGAAUUUAGAUCCUCAUACUACUGUAUGGGUACAGUGGGCCUGAUCAAGACUGAAAUCUGAGCAGGAGAUAGGUGAUAUCUCCUGUAUUAGUAUUCCAAUGAAUGGCCACGAUUCUUAAUUUCUACAAAAGUAGGUGAAAAUUUUCAUUUUCACCUACUUUUGUAUAAAUGUAGGUAAAAUAAAUAGGGCUCUUUGUGAGAAAUCACCCUGCCAAGAAGGCUAGGUGCAAUGAAAUAUUCAUGUGUUUGAGCGCUUGUGUGUUAGGAA